CAAGAAACGAGGCCGCGUGCGCUCACCCGCCCGGCCCCGCUCCUUACCUUGCCUACUGCACCGUUUGUUGCUUCCUGGCGGCGGACUGCCCGCCGCCAGGGACGUUGAUACAACCCUGUAUAGAAGCAUUGAAGCUCUGAGAAAACGUGAAAUCGUA
rnacentral:misc_RNA from 1 species